UUAAUUAAAGCCAAAAAGAGGCUUAUCAUUGUUAAUGAUACCAUUGAAUUUAAUUCUAAUUAAACCCCCCCCCC
rnacentral:tRNA from 1 species